AUGCUUGUCUCAAAGAUUAAGCCAUGCAUGUCUAAGUACAAGCCUCACUAAGGUGAAACCGCGAAUGGCUCAUUAAAUCACACCUAAUCUACUGGAUAGUAGUCAGUUACUCGGAUACCUGCGGUAAUUCUGCAGCUAAUACGUGCAAACAAGCCUCGACUUCGGAAGAGGCGCUUUUAUUAGAUCAAAACCGAUCGGCUUCGGCCGUCCUUUUGGUGAUUCUGAAUAACUUUGAGCUGAUCGCAUGGCCUCGAGCCGGCGACAUAUCCUUCGAAGGUGUGCCCUAUCAUCUGUCGACUGUGGCAUAGACGCCCAUAGUGGAUUUGACGGGUAACGGGGAAUCAGGGUUCGAUUCCGGAGAGGGAGCCUUAAAAUCGGCUACCACAUCCAAGGAAGGCAGCAGGCACGCAAAUUACCCAAUGACCGAAGGUCGAGGUAGUGACGAAAAAUAACGAUACGGGACUCAUCCGAGGCCCCGUAAUCGGAAUGAGUACACUUUAAAACCUUUCCAACGAGGAUCUAUUGGAGGGCAAGUCUGGUGCCAGCAGCCGCGGUAAUUCCAGCUCCAAUAGCGUAUAUUAAUGUUGUUGCGGUUAAAAAGCUCGUAGUCGGAUUUCAGUAGGCUCAGUUAAGUAUCCAUUGUGGUAUCUUUAUGGGCCUGCUUCUUUGACAGAAACUUCUAUGUUAUUCAUUUAGCGUGGGUAGCGACUGUCUCUUUUACUUUGAGAAAAUUAGAGUGUUCAAAGCAGGUAUUAGCCUGAAUAUUACUCUUGGAAUAAUGCUAUAAGACUUUGGUUCUAAUGUAUUGGUGAUUGGGACCAGAGUAAUGAUUGAUAGGGACGGUUGGGGUCUUACGUACUGCAAAGCGAGAGGUGAAAUUCUUGGACCUUUGUAUGACGGACAACUGCGAAAGCAUUGGACUAGGACGUUCCCGUUGAUCAAGAACGAAAGUUGGGGGAUCGAAGACGAUCAGAUACCGUCGUAGUCUCAACCAUAAACUAUGCCAGCUAGGGAUCGGAGGAAGUUAUUAUUUCGACUCCUUCGGCACCUUAUGAGAAAUCAAAGCAUUUGGGUUCCGGGGGGAGUAUGGUCGCAAGGCUGAAACUUAAAGGAAUUGACGGGAGGGCACCACCAGGAGUGGAGCCUGUGGCUUAAUUUGACUCAACACGGGAGAACUUACCAGGUCCGGACAUAGUAAGGAUUGACAGAUUGAAAGCUCUUUCUUGAUUCUAUGGGUGGUGGUGCAUGGCCGUUCUUAGUUGGUGGAGUGAUUUGUCUGGUUAAUUCCGUUAACGAACGAGACCUCAGCCUGCUAAAUAGUGUCAUUUUCUUUCGAAGAUGUGCACUUCUUAGAGGGACUACUUGUGAAACAACCAAGCGGAAGCUUGAGGCAAUAACAGGUCUGUGAUGCCCUUAGAUGUUCUGGGCCGCACAUGGGCUACACUGGUGCAUUCAACAAGCAUAAUCACCUUAACCGAAGGGUUUGGGUAAUCUUUGAAAUUGCACCGUGCUUGGGAUAGACUGUUGCAAUUUUUAGUCUUCAACGAGGAAUUCCUAGUAAACGCAAGUCAUCAGCUUGCAUUGAUUACGUCCCUGCCCU
rnacentral:rRNA from 1 species